UAACAACAACAACAACAACAAUAACAAUGAGAAAAAAACAAAGUUGCAUUUUAAUAAUAACUUGAAUGAGACGUAUGUGAGUAAUACAACACAAAGUGAUGACUUUUUUCAAAAUAAGAACAAAUUAGAAGGAGAUGACAGUAUGAAUACUAAUAAAGACAAUAAUAUAGUAAGUUAUUUGAAUACCGAGUCUACUUUAUCUAGUUUUAAUAAAGAUCAAGAAUUUAAGCAUAAUAACGUAAAGUUAUUAACAAUUCAUAAUGAUAGUAAUAACAACAACAAUAAUAGUAAAAAUCAUAUAAAUGGUAAUAAAAAUGAAUAUAACAAAAUAAAAAAAAAUACACAUAACAAUCAGUUGGAUGAUUCUAAUAUACUGGAUGUUACAUACUUUAACGAACAUGUACCAUUUUGUGAUGAAAAAAAAAAAAAAACACGUAAGUCAUAUAAUCCAGGAAUGACCGAACACUCAGUUACUACUUCACUAACACGUAGACAUAGUACUUAUGUAGGGAAUGAGUUUGANNNNNNNNNNNNNNNNNNNNNNNNNNNNNNNNNNNNNNNNNNNNNNNNNNNNNNNNNNNNNNNNNNNNNNNNNNNNNNNNNNNNNNNNNNNNNNNNNNNNUUCUAAUAAUAAUAAUAAUACACCUUUAUCACAAGAAUGUUAUAAAAAUAAUCAAAAUAAGUUAAAACAUAUUGACGCUGCAACUGAUAGUGAUCAUAGUGAGGAUUUCGAUAUUAAUAAACUAAGCUACGGAGUGUUCCAUCCAAGUUUCCUUAAUAACCCGGGAGAAUUUGAAAACGAUACAUCAAGGAAUUCGGAAAAAGUUAACUGGUCAAAAGAAAAAGAACAAAACUAUUAUCAGAAAAAAUAUGAUCCUGCAUAUAUAUUUAGUGACCAGUAUUACAAAGAUAUUAAUAAAAAUAUAGAUGAAAAUGGAAAACUGAAUUACAUAGAUGAAUUAUUAGAACGCGAUGAAGAAACGAACAUUGGUCAAAGUAUAUUAAACAAAAUUAUAGAAAAUGCAAAAAACAAAGAUACAGAACACAAUUAUAUAGAUAGGACGUUUUUAUAUAGACACGCUCAAAAUGUAAUGGACGAUAAAAAAUAUGAGGAGUAUAAAAAAAAAAUGAAGGAUGAACAUGGGUACUUAGAUAUUAACUGUCCUAAUUUAAGACAGAUUAUGAAUAUACAACCUAUAACUGGUAAAGAAGUAAUAGAUGACAGGGACGAGUUUAAAGAGAUCGAAGCAAAUAUGUUGGAAAAAUUUUAUAAACAAUCUGAAGAACAACAGAAAUACUACCAUUCGAACGGUAUACAUACGAGUAACUUGAAUAGUACAUUGAAUAUAGAAAAAAAAACAUUACUUCAUAACAGUAGUAGCAAUAUGAAUACUAAAUUAUUUACGGGAAAUAAUAAGACUGAGGAAGAUCAUAAUGAUGCAAAUAAAAGAGAGGAAAUGAUAAAAUAUAUGGAAAAAAUAAAAUUAGAAAAAGAAGCGUUUUAUAAUAGCAUACCAAAUAAAUGCAUGCCCGAAAAACUAUUGGAGCGUCAGUUUACUUUAAAUCAACAAUUUUUAUUAUCACAUCAUUUAUUUUCUGUGCAAUAUAAGGGUGAACAUGGAAUUUUAACUUAUCUACCUAAAACUGAAGAUGAUAAUUAUUUUUAUAGGAUAAUAGAACUAUGUCCUAGAUAUCAAUGUAAAUUAAAUGAGAUUUUAGAUGAAAAAAAAAGAGAUCCAAAGCUAAAUAAUACAAAAAAAUCUGCAGGUCAAAAUUCAACACAAAGUCCCUAUAUUAUUAUUAAAUGAGAAAGACAUUCAAAAAACUCUUCGUAUACCCAUGAGCUCAGGUUGGACUCAUUGUGGCUAUUUGGAGAAGUAUUAUAACGCUCUUUUUUUUAGAAAACGUAAAGGUUGAUUUCGUUGAUGUGCUGUCACUUAUGUGUGCGUUUGUAUAUACACACACACAUCUAUAUGUAUAUAUAUAUAUAUAUAUAUAUAGAUGUGGUGGUGUUGUGGUAUGAAUGGUAAGAGUUAUUUGAAAAGUCUGUG
ensembl:lncRNA